UUUAAUAUUUUAAAAUAUUUUAUAUUGUUAUGCUGGUAUUAUUUACCUUUGAAUUUAUUUCUAUAUAUAUGUAGUAACAUUUACUGUUAUACAACUUUCAGAGAAUUCCAAGAUUUAUGUUAAUGUGGGGUUUUAUUCUGUUGUCUAUAUUUUAUUCUCAAACUUCUCUAUGUGUCUUGUUUUUAUUUCUAUUUAGACAUGGGGUCUCCCUAUGUUACCCAGGCAUAACUCAAAUGCCUAAGCAGAAGCAAUGCUCCCAUCUCAGCUUCCCAAGAAGCUAGGGCUACAGGCAUGCACCACUAUACUUGGUAUGACCAAGGAAUCUGUGCAUUUCAAGUGACGAAGUUCAUCAGCUUCUCUCCUGGGAGAUUUGGCCACAAUACCCAGAGGGCCAGGCAGCACCAGGAGUAAUGGGUGGGGAGUACCAAGCAAUUGGGCAGGACCUAGGGGCCCGGUGACCAGGACAGACCCCCA
rnacentral:lncRNA from 1 species